rnacentral:rRNA from 1 species
UACGAAGGGGGCUAGCGUUGCUCGGAAUUACUGGGCGUAAAGGGCGCGUAGGCGGACAGUUUAGUCAGAGGUGAAAGCCCAGGGCUCAACCCUGGAAUUGCCUUUGAUACUGGCUGUCUUGAGUACGGGAGAGGUGUGUGGAACUCCGAGUGUAGAGGUGAAAUUCGUAGAUAUUCGGAAGAACACCAGUGGCGAAGGCGGCGACCUGGGUAGAUACUGACGCUGAGGUGCGAAAGCGUGGGGAGCAAACAGG